AGGGUGAGGGGUGCAGCUGGUUCGCCCUGUCAGCCGGACAGGCGCGUCGCAAGAGGGAAUCCGGUGCGAAUCCGGAACUGCCCCGCAGCGGUGAGCGGGAACGACCGCCGUCAUCAGCACUGGGUCCACCACACGGGUCCGGGAAGCGACGGCCAGUAGGUGCCUCCUCGACACACGAGGCGUGCUCGCGAGUCCGAAGACCUGCCACUGCCCGUGCGUGAGA
rnacentral:ncRNA from 2 species